rnacentral:rRNA from 1 species
UCCUACGGGAGGCAGCAGUGAGGAAUAUUGGUCAAUGGGCGGGAGCCUGAACCAGCCAAGUCGCGUGAAGGAAGAAGGUACUUAGUAUUGUAAACUUCUUUUGUCGGGGAACAAAGGCGGAGACGCGUCUCCGGAUGAGUGUACCCGAAGAAAAAGCAUCGGCUAACUCCGUGCCAGCAGCCGCGGUAAUACGGAGGAUGCGAGCGUUAUCCGGAUUUAUUGGGUUUAAAGGGUGCGUAGGCGGGAUGCCAAGUCAGCGGUCAAAUACGGGGGCUCAACCUGCGUCCGCCGUUGCAACUGGCGUU